rnacentral:rRNA from 1 species
UACGUAGGGUGCGAGCGUUGUCCGGAAUUACUGGGCGUAAAGAGCUCGUAGGUGGUUUGUCGCGUUGUUCGUGAAAACUCACAACUCAAUUGUGGGCGUGCGGGCGGAUACGGGGCAGACUGGAGUACUGCAGGGGAGACUGGAAUUCCUGGUGUAGGCGGUGGAAUGCGCAGAUAGUCAGGAGGAACACCGGUGGCGAAGGGCGGGGAU